GUUUUUGUAGUUGAAUUACAACGAUGGUUUUUCAUACCAUUAGUCAUGGUUUAAGUCCGUGUAAGAACU
rnacentral:tRNA from 1 species